rnacentral:rRNA from 1 species
GAGUCAUAUGAUCUGAGCUACGGAAAGUCAGCCAUCCAAGCACCUUGCUCGCUGGUAACUAAAAAUAAGGGGGUGGUAACUAGGGCACUGUAUUGGUACGGAAAGUCAUGUGUAACCGUUCUCUCUCAAAAGCGAACUAUUGAGGGUUCUUCAUGUGUUUGUUUCUCUGUCUCCGAAAGAACGCGGUGGCGUUGCAGGCUAGCUCGUUCGUUUGCCUACGUGUUCGGUACGGAGAGGUCGAGAAGGUGAACCGGUGGGACAAGGAAGAGGAGCGCCGGUGGCAGACACGGCUGCUGCCAGCCGUCAAGCGGAUGUUACCGAAACGCCCGUCCUCGGAGCUGGAGCUGCCGCGCCGGCUCCAGUGCGGGUCGCCGGAGGAGUACGACUGGUUACCGUGAUAGGUCGUCUUUCCGGUGCGGAAGGUGGGCAGGGGCCACGGCGAGGCGCGGCGCGCGAGGAAGAGCUGCCGGAAGCAGAAGCGGUAGAAGCCCGUCAUGUAACUGGAGUCGUCGGGGCCGUACCGGAAGAAGCAGUGGUGCAGGUUCCUCCACGAGCGGUGGCGCGACGGCCCGGUCAAGGAGCCGGAGGAGUUGCGGUGGUUGUUGUGGUUGGGGUUGCGGGUGUAGAAGCGGCACCUCGAGCUGUGGGAGGAGUUGAGGCUCACGGCCCUGUACUUAUCGUUGGUGCAGCCGCAGCUGCAGCUGUCGUACCACAGCGCUCGUAGGCGGCUGCGGCCGAUGAUGCUGCUGCGGUGCCCGGCCAAGGUCUUGGACUCGGACUAGUCGUCCGUCCGCUACGUCCAGACCCACCUGAUGCUACCGCGCCGUCGGCUCUAGUGCCACUGGUACCGAGGGGACCCGCAGCGGUCCGGGUUCUGCGGGGACGACGCCUGGCGGCACUUGGAGAGCCGGCACCACGUCGUGGUCCUGUGCCGCAUGCAGCCCAAGAGCAGCCGGUGGCCUUAGGAGAAACGCGCGGUGAAGCAGCAGCCAACCUCGAAGCGCGACCUGCCCGGCCGCGGCUGCGACUUGUAGAGGAGGAACGGGCGGGACGGCGGGUGGCCCGGGUUCGGUGCCAGGUCCCACGACCUCUAGCACGACGGGUAUCGCAGCCGCUGCCACCAAGACCGGCAGCCGUAGCGGCGAAUGUAGAAUCAGGCUGCCGCUGAGUCCAUGCGCCUCCAGGCCCUCCUGACCCUCCAGCGGAAGCCUGGGGUCGGGAAGAGGAUGUUCCUGGACAUGGUCCGCUGGUUCCCCAAGUCGCUCUGGUUGGAGGAGCCGCGCCCUCCGAAACCUUCGCAGAUGUUCCCGCACGAGGCGUUCGGGCUGUACCUGUGCCUCCACCGGCAGUUCGCCCACAGCGUGGUCAGCUCCGUCCCCUACUUCCUCAAGCAGCGCCUCCAGCGCUCGUACGCGGCCGACGUGGUGGCGUUGGAGCACGUCGACGAGCCGAUAACGGCCGCUUUCCCCCUCGAAGAGAACCAGAUGCUAGUGUACGGUUUACCGUCGGAUCUGUUUAUGGAGGUACUAGGGUCGGGACCGUUCCGAUGUAACCUCACCGGAGUCUCCAACGUGUAGUAGUCCCCUCACCGAAGUCCCAAUAGGAUGGAGGUACUCCCAACCCUCGUCUAGCAGUAGGUAGCUCUGCAGUUCCGUUCGUUGCACGAGAACCUACCGCUCUACUUGCCCGCCGAUCCCCUAAAGCCGGAUCGUUCCGAGAUGCUGGUACCCAGGCUACGCGCCUGGUGUGUGCACCAGCCGUGGUACCCGAUGGAUCGGGGACUUGAUCCUGUGUGGCCGUUCCGUUGGGGCCGAUGGCUACAGAAGCGGAAGCCACGCAAGGAGGACCUCCAGUGGACACCCGCCUCCGGCUAGCUCCUUCUGCUCCUUUUGUUGGCGCAGUACGAGCACCUGACCCAACGGCUUGUAACCGCAGUCCCAACGUAGUGAUUCCGCCGUCUGUAAUCCUACGGUUUGUCGAACCCAGAACUGGUCCAGAGAGAUCAGGAUUUUGAGCCCGAAAACACGAGGGUAGGAAACGGGUUGCGUUCCGGUUGGUAUGCUGUUCAGUACGUCAUGGAGCUACCGCUGUACGGGGAGGGCCUCAAAAGUGGUCUCAUGGAGCCGAGUUGGUACGACCUCGUCUACAUGUCGCGCCUCAAAAAAUUGUUCUUACGUUACAGUAUGCACAGUAACCCACAGUAAAGGCUAGAGAGGCCUCCUUCCACUGUUUCCACUUACGGCACGGUUUUAUUGACUACUCAACCUGAAGAUUAUGAACAUAUAGGGACAUUCUGCAUUGAUCGUGAUGAAUCAUCUUCAAACAAACUACAAAACUAUAAAUUAAAACUUACUAACAUUACCAAAUGAAAGAAAAACGUCUACGUAGAAAUAUUGUUUGUCCACAUAGUACGUACGAUGGACGAAUACUAUCCGCAAAGAAUUGUCUAAGUACAAAUACGUAUCAUCUACACGUACAUAAUCAUGAAGAACAUACAAAGGUCACUCUAGUCCUGAGAAAAGUUAUCUUAUAAAAGAAACAGCGAUCGUUACACGAUGGAUAGUCUAGUCUUGAAACUUAGGGAAUGAAAAGAUGCAAGGAUGAAACUAAAGUUGUAGACUGCUCCUGAUAAAGUAAAUAGAUAAAACUAACUACAAUUAUACAACGGAGUUUGUUACUAGCAAGCAGUUGUCAUGAUCUCGAUACUGAAAAUCGGUGAUGUAUUCCACCAACCAACGAUUUUCAGGUUUGUACUAAUGAUGGUUGUGAUGAACCAGAGAAGUACCGCCGAUAUCGUAUCAGAGAUGUCUAUAAACCCCUGGUG